rnacentral:rRNA from 1 species
UACGUAGGGGGCAAGCGUUGUCCGGAAUUAUUGGGCGUAAAGAGCGUGUAGGCGGUCCGGUAAGUCAGCUGUGAAAGUCAAGGGCUCAACCCUUGAAAGCCGGUUGAUACUGUCGGGCUAGAGUCCGGAAGAGGCGAGUGGAAUUCCCGGUGUAGCAGUGAAAUGCGCAGAUAUCGGGAGGAACACCAAUGGCGAAGGCAGCUCGCUGGGACGGUACUGACGCUGAGACGCGAAAGCGUGGGGAGCAAACAGG